rnacentral:lncRNA from 1 species
GAAAAAGUACAAAACGCUAGGAACAAAAUACUUUUAUUUCAUGGCAGAAAUAUCUCUACGGAGUUUGAGAGCUUUUAUAUAAAUGCUUCUGAUUAUGAACUUAUGGAUCCUUUUAUCCAUCAACAUCGCUACGAACUAUUACUUAACAAUGUUGUGAAAUGCAAAGGGAAAAAUCUUUUUCUUUUAGUAUUUGUACAUAUGGCACCGGGCAAUUUUGCUGGGCGCAUUCUGAUAAGAUCCACGUUUGGAUCAAUUCUCAAAUUUCACAAUAAACGCAUUGAAUAUGUAUUUGUGCUCGGCAAAACCGAAAACGCAACCCUUCAAAAAGAUCUUGAAAACGAAAGUAAGAUAUACAUGGAC